AAAGCCAGCCCCUCUUUGUUUCCUUUCACUGUUGUGGACCGCAGAGUCUGGACUCCACUGAUGGUCAGAGUAAAAUCAGUUCUGGAUCCACUGCCACUGAAUCUAGAUGGAGUUCCAGUAUUACGGGUUGUUGCAUCAUAUAUAAGGAGUUUAGGAGCUUCUGCAGGUUUCUGUAAGUACCAGUGUAGGUAACUACUACCACACACUGCACUGCUGAUUUUACAGUUUAUUCUGACUUCUUGUCCUGGUUGAACUGCUAGUAUUGCUGGACUCUGAGUUACAGUGUACUGUCCUCUACACUCUGAGAGGAAAGAAAAAAAACAAAAACAAAAACAUAUAUUACACAUUUUAUGAGAAUUAAUGAUCAUUGUAAAAACAGUCUCACGCAAACCUUGAGCAAACAGAGUCAGAGUCCAGAUGAAGAAGGUGAUUGUGUUCAUUGUUGUUCUUUUGUCUUGUGUGAUGAUGAAGAUUGUGUCUGUUCUGCUCUCAGUCAUGAAGUGUUAAACUCACAGCACUAUAAACACUCUCAGAGCACUGAAGCAUGUGUCACAAUGCAAACAAGUGGGCAGGAUUUACAACAGACACACUAAUAUACACUAGAGUUACAGAAUGAUCAUUUACAUUCUGACUGUCUUACAAAAUAUAGACAAAACACAACAUUAAAUAUGUAAAUAUAGAUGACAAUCCUAAGUAAAGUCCUGAUUGUCUUGAUGGUUCUACAGAUUAUCUUAUCAGAUUUUCCUGAGAUGUGUUAAGAGUGACUGAAUCUGUUCGGAAGACUGUCAGAGCCGCCCUGAUUGUGAAUCGUAAAUAUUUAACAUUUUGAAAAUGUACGAUCAGAAAUCAUGUUGUGUGGGGGAACUGAGAACAAAUGCGCACACGCUCUGUAGAUUAUCACGUGAAAUAAAACGAUACCCAAUCAAAAAGAGCUGACAGAAGACUCACCUCCAGCUCGUGCUGUAACAUCUAAAGUACAUGUUCACACCGUAUAUAUAUAUAUAUAUAUAUAUAUAUAUAUAUAUAUAUAUAUAUAUAUAUAUAUAUUAGGGCUGUCAAGCGA